GACGCUGGCGGCGUGCCUAACACAUGCAAGUCGAGCGAGGAGAUCCUUCGGGAUGAUCCUAGCGGCGGACGGGUGAGUAACACGUGGGCAACCUGCCUCAUAGAGAGGAAUAGCCUUCCGAAAGGGAGAUUAAUACCUCAUAACAUUGCAGUUUCGCAUGGAACAGCAAUUUAAAGGAGUAAUCCGCUAUGAGAUGGGCCCGCGACGCAUUAGCUAGUUGGUGAGGUAACGGCUCACCAAGGCGACGAUGCGUAGCCGACCUGAGAGGGUGAUCGGCCACAUUGGGACUGAGACACGGCCCAAACUCCUACGGGAGGCAGCAGUAGGGAAUCUUCCGCAAUGGACGAAAGUCUGACGGAGCAACGCCGCGUGAGUGAAGAAAGGUUUUCGGAUCGUAAAACUCUGUUGUCAGAGAAGAACAAGUUGGAGAGUAACUGCUCCAGCCUUUGACGGUAUCUGACCAGAAAGCCACGGCUAACUACGUGCCAGCCGCAGC
rnacentral:rRNA from 1 species